UACGUAGGGUGCGAGCGUUAAUCGGAAUUACUGGGCGUAAAGCGUGCGCAGGCGGUUUUGUAAGCCAGGUGUGAAAUCCCCGGGCUCAACCUGGGAAUGGCAUUUGGGACUGCAAGGCUGGAGUGCGGCAGAGGAGACUGGAAUUCCUGGUGUAGCAGUGAAAUGCGUAGAUAUCAGGAGGAACACCGAUGGCGAAGGCAGGUCUCUGGGCUGACACUGACGCUCAUGCACGAAAGCGUGGGGGAGCAAACAGG
rnacentral:rRNA from 1 species